ACAUUGAUAGUUAAUCAAGAAGUUAUAAUUUUUUCUUUGUUCUUUCUUUGUCACAUCUAUGCUUCUAUGGAUUUAGCUUCAUGUUGAUCCUUCUUCCUCAGUUAUGUCUAGCUGAUUUUGACAUGGUAUCAGAGAUAUGUUGCAAAAACUGGUAACCUUCUCGCUCAAUUUGUUGUAUCGAUAAUGGAAUUCAUUAUAAUUUGAUAUCACUUAUUGCUUGGUUCAUACCCUUUCCAUUUGAUUUGUCGUGCUGGUUUUCUAUUCGAUUAAUUGCCGAAUUGAACUUUGUGUCUCUGAAUUCGAGUGUCGAUUUCUCUCUUUCCUGUUUUUUGUCAAAAUUAAAAUACUCUUAAGAUGAUAAAUUAGGGUGAAGAAUCUUCAACUAUGAAUGUUAAUGGUACCACUGGUACUAGUAUUGCUGGGGAUGGCAUCAGUUCCCCUUUAUACAUGUAUCUCUCAGACAAUCCAGGUGCAAUGUUAGUACAUAUUUCCUUCGUUGAAACAUUAUAUACAUCAUGGAGAAGGGGAGUUCUUAGAGCCUUGUCUAUUAAUAAUAAGUUGGGGUUCAUCAGUGGUGAAUGUAAAAGACUAGACCCACGAACAUUACGAUAUAGGCAAUGGGAAAGAUGUGAUGGUAUGGUCAAAUCAUGGAUCCUAAAUUCACUAGCUAAGAAAAUUGCAGAUAUUGUUGAUAUGUAAAUGAUUCUUUGAGCUAUGAAAAGAGCUAGAUGAUCGAUAUGAUCAAACAAAUGGUGCGAAAUUAUAUCAAGUGCAGAGAGAAAUAAAUGAAUUGUCUCAAGGUAGUUUAGACAUAACUACUUAUUUUACAAAAAUAGAAAUUGUAGGAAAAAUUGAGCACCUUACAUGCUCAGACUCGGUGUAAAUGCAAUUGUGUUUGUGAUGCAAAAGAACACUUGUUUAAAGCAGAACAAGAGAGGAGAUUGGUCCAAUUUCUCAUAGGGUUGAAUGAGGUUUAUACAGUAGUUAGGGGAAACAUUCUUAUGAUAAUUCCAUUUCCAUUAUUGGGAUAGGAUUUUUCACUAUUGAUACAGGAUGAGAGACAAAAAGAGAUAAAACCAAGUAAUCAACUAUUUAUGGAGUCUACCUCUUUGAGUGCAAGUGGGUUAAACAAGAUUUCUUUGGAGACCACUAGUUUUCUCGCUGGUAUGAGUAGUCACAGGGGAGGAAAAACUCCUAGGCCCAAAUAUUCUUCUAGUACUAGCAUAUCAGGUGGAAAUGGAAGUUUCAGGACAAAUUAUACCCAAAGUAUUGGCUAUGGUAGAAACAAGCCUCGUAUGGUAUGUGAUUACUGCAAAAGACCAGGGCACACUAAAGAUAAAUAUUAUAAACUCCAUGGUUAUCCACAAGGAAAUAAUCACAACUUCAACAAUAACUACCAAGGUUCACAGAGUAGUUAUCAGAACAACAUUUAAAAUCACAAGUUCAACAAAGGAAAAGGCCUUAUUGCUGAUGUAUAUGGAUUUGUAUCAGAUAUUGCACCUACCAGGGGAAAUGAGCCCAACAAGUUACAGGGUGGAAACAACAUCAACCUAUCUAGAGAUCAGUAUGAGCAUGUUGUGAACUUUCUACAACAUUUUUAGUUUGGAGCUCAUAGAGAGAAUAACAGCAACAAGACUUCAGAUUCUUUGGGAGGAAAUGCAAACUUUGCAGUCCACUUCAAUGAAUAGGCCUCUGGAUAUUAGUGAAGCUAGUCUCUUCCAAUAUUCUUGGACAAGCUUGUACCAGCGUUGGUAGCAAUACUAGUAUCUGUUACACUGAUUCUCAUGUUCGGAGAGAUAAUUCCUCAAACAAUCUGUACUCACUAUGGAUUGACAGUUGGAGCCACUGUAUCACCCCUUGUUCAGAUUCUUUUCUGGUUAUUCUUCCCCAUUGCUUAUCCAAUUAGUAGGGUAUAAAGAACAACAAUCACAUUCUAUAAUUUACUCAUGUAGAGUUAUUAAGUUUUCAUGUUUUGCUACUAGAGAGAGAGAGAUCUUCACCAGCUGUGUGUUCGAUUGCCACCUUGUACUCUCAAUCCGAGUUAUAUGAUACGGUUUAAGAAAUAAAACUAUAUGAACCCAUCAAAAACUCAUAAGAUAGAUCUGUACUCAUAUACGCUACGGUGGUUGAUUUGUAUGAUUUGUUCCUUUUCUGUAGCUUGGAAAGAAAUGGAAAGAAUACAACAUAAAGUUGAAUGGAGGAGUUCCUUGGUUAUGUUCUCCCUCCGUUUCGAUUUACUUGUCACAUUUUGACGUGACACAUCUAUUAAGAAAAUAAUGAUUGGUAUA